UAGUGAAUAUAGGACGUCCAACUUAACUUGGAGUCCGAACUCUCACUUUCUAACCCUGUGCACUUGUUUGGGAUAGUAACUCUCGCAAGAGAGCGAACUCCUAUUCACUUAUAAACACAAAGUCUAUGAAUGUAUUAAAUUUUAUAACAAAAUAAAACUUUCAACAACGGAUCUCUUGGCUCUCGCAUCGAUGAAGAACGCAGCGAAAUGCGAUAAGUAAUGUGAAUUGCAGAAUUCAGUGAAUCAUCGAAUCUUUGAACGCACCUUGCGCUCCAUGGUAUUCCGUGGAGCAUGCCUGUUUGAGUGUCAUGAAUACUUCAACCCUCCUCUUUCUUAAUGAUUGAAGAGGUGUUUGGUUUCUGAGCGCUGCUGGCCUUUACGGUCUAGCUCGUUCGUAAUGCAUUAGCAUCCGCAAUCGAACUUCGGAUUGACUUGGCGUAAUAGACUAUUCGCUGAGGAAUUCUAGUCUUCGGAUUAGAGCCGGGUUGGGUUAAAGGAAGCUUCUAAUCAGAAUGUCUACAUUUUAAGAUUAGAUCUCAAAUCAGGUAGGACUACCCGCUGAACUUAAGCAUAUCAAUAAGCGGAGGAAAAGAAACUAACAAGGAUUCCCCUAGUAGCGGCGAGCGAAGCGGGAAGAGCUCAAAUUUAUAAUCUGGCACCUUCGGUGUCCGAGUUGUAAUCUCUAGAAAUGUUUUCCGCGUUGGACCGCACACAAGUCUGUUGGAAUACAGCGGCAUAGUGGUGAGACCCCCGUAUAUGGUGCGGACGCCCAGCGCUUUGUGAUACAUUUUCGAAGAGUCGAGUUGUUUGGGAAUGCAGCUCAAAUUGGGUGGUAAAUUCCAUCUAAAGCUAAAUAUUGGCGAGAGACCGAUAGCGAACAAGUACCGUGAGGGAAAGAUGAAAAGCACUUUGGAAAGAGAGUUAACAGUACGUGAAAUUGUUGGAAGGGAAACGCUUGAAGUCAGACUUGCUUGCCGAGCAAUCGGUUUGCAGGCCAGCAUCAGUUUUCCGGGAUGGAUAAUGGUAGAGAGAAGGUAGCAGUUUCGGCUGUGUUAUAGCUCUCUGCUGGAUACAUCUUGGGGGACUGAGGAACGCAGUGUGCCUUUGGCGGGGGUUUCGACCUCUUCAC
rnacentral:rRNA from 1 species